CCUACGGGUGGCAGCAGUGGGGAAUAUUGCACAAUGGGGGAAACCCUGAUGCAGCGACGCCGCGUGAGUGAAGAAGUAUUUCGGUAUGUAAAGCUCUAUCAGCAGGAACGAGACAAGACGGUACCUGACUAAGAAGUCCCGGCUAACUACGUGCCAGAAGCCGAAGUAAUACGUAGGGGGCAAGCGUUAUCCGGAACCAUUGGGGGGAAAGGGAGCGUAGACGGCUGAGCAAGCCUGAAGUGAAAGGCGGGGGCCCAACCCCCGGACUGCUUUGGGAACUGUACGGCUGGAGUGCAGGAGGGGUAGGUGGAAUUCCUAGUGUAGCGGUGAAAUGCGUAGAUAUUAGGAAGAACACCAGUGGCGAAGGCGGCUUACUGGACUGUAACUGACGUUGAGGCUCGAAAGCGUGGGGAGCAAACAGGAUUAGAUACCCCUGUAGUC
rnacentral:rRNA from 1 species